GGCGAAAGACAAGAUUUACUGUCAGAUGAUGUCAUGCAGAGAUUGAUUAACAACACAGGACUCUUCUGCUGACGAAGCCAACCUGUGAGAUGGUCUGUCAGAGACACUGCCUGUGGUUUUGGCAAUGAGCAAUCUCUACAUGAGGAAUUUCCCUCCCAACCUGCCUUUCGCCGAGUCCAUCACUGGGUAGCCUGUUCAUCACAGCACGGAGCUGGGGAGCCGCACGAUGCCGUAGGCUCUUUGUGCUCCCCGCCAGCGCCAGGGAGGUUUGGACCCAGUGGUACAGGUACUCCAUGGGAGCCGAGCUGUGCUCCCACACCACUGCUCGAGAUACACCUGAAACAAAGAAGAGCUGUAACUCCCAACAGGAAAAGUCAAACCCUUGAGCACUGUCACCAUGAGACCGAAUAGAGAUCAUCCCAUCACUGCUGCUCUCCCCAAGCCCGGUAAAUUCCACCCUGGAAAAUGAUGGUGCUUUGAAAAGCACACCCAGCAUUAUUGUGGUCAUUUUAUUAGAAUUUAUCUUGCACAAAGUGCUCUGCUGUAUUUUAAUGCUAAACAUUUGAUAAUUAAACAUAUAAUGAGAAAA